CACACGUCUCCACAACACAAAACCCUAAAACUAUUGCACAUCCCACACACAUACGGAGAGAGGGAGACCUUGUGAUGGUUCCCGCGGAGUAAUAGCGGUGGUGAUUAGAAACCAUAGCAACCCUAAAACUACUGCACAUCCCACACACAUGGGUCAUCUUGAUUGGUUAACAAGGGCGGUGCCUUCACCCCUGCAGUCCAUAUAUAAGGCGGUGAGAAAAAGGUAUCGAUUGAUGAUGGUGGAGCGGUUAACGGAGGAGCACCGCCGCCCCUUCUGUCUAUCUUGUAUGAUCGACGCUUAUCCCGUCUUCGAUCUCCUCGGCUAAGCGCCUGUUCAGUGCGGCCAUUUGAGUCAGAUUUCUCCAUGGUAAUCUCUUUUUAUCUCCAUUCUUGAGUUUUAUGCUUUUAGAGCUUUUGGUAUAAUGUAUUAUUUCUCUAAUUUGAGAACUCUUUGGAUCUGUAAAGCCUAAAGAAUUUCUGGUGUAAAACCCUAAGUCUACUAUGAAUUUCUAGGGGUGGAGUUUAAUUGUUGAUAUCCAGUAAUCUUGAUUAUUGGGUUCUGAAAUAUGAAAUCCGGUGAUCAUGAAGUUGUAAAGGUGGAAUCUUUGCAUGUUAGGAACUCAAAGAUCCGGAUUUUGAAUUGGAACUUUGAUCGUGUUGCUGUUAUGAAACCCUAACGGGUCUUUGUUCCUGAAUGGGGUCUUUGAUUUGUGUUGUUGUAGUCUUUGUAUCCGAAUGGGGAAUUUGAUUGUACCACUGUAUUGAAACCGUAAGUUAGUCUUUGCUUUUGCAACCUCCGUUGCAGCCAUUAUCAACCAGUUGAAUUUCACUCGGCCUGUUGGAAUUAAGAGUAUAUGGAACUGAAAGCUAUAUUUGGUCGUUGCGUACCAAGUUCGUUUGCUGGCUAUGAUGACUUUGGUAAAAAAAAGUUUAGGUUUGAUGUUGCAUAGCAAGGAUGGUGAGUGCAGAGUUUGCUACUAGCAACCUGUUACGCAGCUAUGAUAACCUCAAUACCUAUUCUGAGUUGUCUAUUACAAGGCAUUAAGAAACCAAAAUGUGUUCCAGUUCAAUAAACGACCUCAUUAAAAUGAGUGAAUCAUUUCCGUUUGAAUGGAUCAGUAAAAAUGGAAAGAAGGGUUUCAUGUAACUUCAAUGACUGCAGCUAGCAGUCGUUGGGGUGUUGUGAUGUCAACAAACGCAGGAUUUUUUGACCAGGUAUUGUUAUGUGCUUUUAUCGAGCAUAUAAAAGUUAUAGCAGAAUGUUAAAUUUGCAAAUUUGAAUGCAUAUUGUUAAUAUUUUGGUAAGUAACAACAAUGCAUUUGAGUGCAAAGUAAAUUAUAGUUUCUUUUUCAAGUGCUACACAUAAAAUAAAUUAAAAAAUUUGUUCAGAUAUAAAGCAUUAUUAACCAAGUAUUUACUACCCUACCUUCCUGUCAUGAGAUUGUAUUAUCAAAUCUGAUAUAUUACUCUAAAUGCUUAAAUCCCUCGCUAGGUAUAUGCAGUGCGAGAUUAUUUCUCCUUUUAAUGCUUCUAUUCCCACAGGCGUGAUGAAGAAGAUUAUUAAGGAAGGUGAUGGGUAUGAAGCACCACUUAAUGGUGAUAAAGUUGAAGCUUGUGCUCGGCUUGAAUUUAAAGAUCGCUCGGUGGCUAGAAUUCUGAAGUUUGAACCAAGCUGAACGAGGCUCGAAUUUAACCUGAGAUGGCUCAGGUUUAUUUAUACAUUUUCUUUCAAAUUUAACCAUUAAACAUUUGCUCGAGCUAGCGUGAGCUUGAAAUCAGCCCUUAAACCAAUUUUGAACUUGGCUGAAUAUUUGAGUUGGGGCUAGGCUCCCUUACAAACCAAGCCAACUCGGUUAGGAUCGGGUCACCUUAGCUCGAUUGCCCAGGUUCAUUUAUACAUUAUCAGAGUAUUUGGUGCAGAGUGUGAUCAUCUUAUUCAAGUGGUAAUUGCUGAAGAAAACUGAGACAAAAUUCGAGUUCCAAAUACCUAUUAACAAUCCAUUAAGUCACUAAUUUCAUCUCUGCCGCUCAUGAUGAUGAUCAUGUACUAGUUGGAUUGCCUAAACUCCAUACGCUUCCUGCAGGAGUUUUUAUAAUGGGCCUUGAAAGCUCCUUAUCAGCCCAAAAUCGCCUUCCAACAAAUGAACCAAUUGAGGAGUUUUUAUUCAAGAGGUGUAAGAAUGUGAAUUGCAAACAGUUGUUGACUGUUGAAGACUGUGACUGCAAGAUUUGCUCUACAAAGAAAGGACUUUGUAGCGAGUGUAUGUGUCCUGUUUUUCUAAACUUUGACUUUGCCAGCAAAACCUACAGUUGGAUCGGUUGUGAUGUGUGUUCUCAUCAGUGGCACUCAGAAGAAUAUCAUAAAGCCCAGACAAAGCUUAAAAGGACCUGCAGGCACAAUUGAGAUGGAAUUUAAUCAUCUUUGUUGUGGUCAUGCUUCUGAAAUGUUUGGAUUCAUUAAGGACGUUUUCAAGUCUUGUGCAGAACAAUGGUGUAUGGAAACGUUAAUUAAAGAGCUUGAAUAAGUAGUUUGAUAGUUGAGUAAUAUUUAUAUUUUUGUCAAAUAUCUUGUAUCUUGUCCAUGUGUAAGUUUAAACAUAUGAUAGUUUGAUAGUUGAGUAAGUUUAAAUA